GCCGGCAGCUAUCAUGGUCUGAAAUGACCAAUGGACAUCGAGAAAUCACUAAGGACCUACCCACCAAGUAAAAAAAAAACAUAAACCACGUGUCUUCCAUCAGUUUACGUCUGUGAGGAGAGAGACAGAGAAAAUGGCUAAAACAAACUUUACAGUUGCCGACUUUGCUAGAGAUUCUUUUCGCUAGCAGCAGUAAAGAUAGAGCCUCAGAACCUGAAGUCUUCGACUCUUCUGAAGAAGAAGAAUACAAAGACAAAAACAAGGAUCCAUUUGGACAUGGCACCAGUGCUAACAGCUGGAGAGAGUACGAGAGAAAGACUUAUCCAUCCAGUUUAACAGAGAUAAUAUCUCACUGAAGUACAGUGAAAUGGAUGUGGUACCGCUCGCUGCUCCUUCUGCUAAACCUAAGCCAAUCAAGCCGAUCGAUCUCGAGGAGUGCAUCCUAUGCCAGAAGAAGAACCGAUCUGAGUACCUCUCUAGUGGUGAAAUCGGCACGGGUUAUAUUGUUUCGCUUGCCAAACAAACAGAGAGUAAUGACACUCGAGCUGCUAGGGUUCUUCAACUGACCGUGCAAGAGCAGGGUAUCAUGAAUUACCACACCUCAUCUUGCUACAGAAGUUUUCAAAGGGAUAUGGCUAAGACUGACAGCAUAACCCAACCACUAUUAAUGAUACAUCUGAGCGACACAGCAAGCGAUUUAAGUCCAGUGUAACUACAAAUGUCUGUAUCUUUUGUGGUUCGGAUUGCAAGACAUUUAAACAGAAGAAAAUACACACAUUGUUCAGAAUCUGUGAAAGGCCCAUGGCCCAAAAACUACUAAAUGCGGCCAUGUUGUUCAAGGACCAUGUGUACACUGAAACAGCGGCAAUGUGUGAGCUAGAUGAUGUUUUUGCGGCUGAUAUCCGAUAUCACGACCAAUGUUGUAAAGUCUAUUUCAAUAAAUAUCAUGCUAAAAUUGAUGAAAUACUGAAAAACCUCGAAAAGGAGGAGUCGGUAACAGCCGGAGACAACUCCUUCAAGGCUAGAUUUUUAGCCCUUUGGAUUGACUUUAGUAGGUCAGCACACAGUCUGACUUCCAUCAGAGACAGGCUAAAUGAAGGUUCAGCUGGAAUAGUGUCAAACAGAACUGUAAAGCAGCUGA